GAUGAACGCUGGCGGUAUGCUUAACACAUGCAAGUCGAACGGUCUCUUCGGAGAUAGUGGCGGACGGGUGAGUAACGCGUGAGAAUCUAGCUUCAGGUCGGGGACAACCAAUAGAAACGGUGGCUAAUACCGGAUGUGCCGAAAGGUGAAAGAUUUAUUGCCUGAAGAUGAGCUCGCGUCUGAUUAGCUAGUUGGUGUGGUAAGAGCGCACCAAGGCGACGAUCAAUGCAUGGUCUGAGAGGAUGAUCAGCCACACUGGGACUGAGACACGGCCCAGACUCCUACGGGAGGCAGCAGUGGGGAAUUUUCCGCAAUGGGCAUGCUUAUGACGGAGCAAUACCGCGUGAGGGAGGAAGGCUCUUGGGUUGUAAACCUCUUUUCUCAGGGAAUAAAAAAAUGAAGGUACCUGAUUUAUAAGCAUCGGCUAACUCCGUGCCAGCAGCCGCGGUAAUACGGAGGAUGCAAGCGUUAUCCGGAAUGAUUGGGCGUAAAGCGUCCGCAGGUGGCACUAUAAGUCUGCUGUUAAAGAGCAAGGCUCAACCUUGUAAAGGCAGUGGAAACUACAGAGCUAGAGUACGUUCGGGGCAGAGGGAAUUCCUGGUGUAGCGGUUUAAUGCGUAGAGAUCAGGAAGAACACCGGUGGCGAAAGCGCUCUGCUAGGCCGUAACUGACACUGAGGGACGAAAGCUAGGGGAGCGAAUGGGAUUAGAUACCCCAGUAGUCCUAGCCGUAAACAUAGCAUACUAGGCGUGGCUUGUAUCGACCCGAGCCGUGCCGGAGCCAACGCGUUAAGUAUCCCGCCUGGGGAGUAAGCACGCAAGUGUGAAACUCAAAGGAAUUGACGGGGGCCGCACAAGCGGUGGAGUAUGUGGUUUAAUUCGAUGCAACGCGAAGAACCUUACCAAGACUUGACAUGUCGCAUAGCUUCUUGAAAGGGAAGAGUGCCUUAGGGAGCGCGAACACAGGUGGUGCAUGGCUGUCGUCAGCUCGUGUCGUGAGAUGUUGGGUUAAGUCCCGCAACGAGCGCAACCCUCGUUUUUAGUUGCCAGCAUUAAGUUGGGCACUCUAGAUUGACUGCCGGUGACAAACCGGUUUAAGGUGGGGAUGACGUCAAGUCAGCAUGCCCCUUACGUCUUGGGCUACACACGUACUACAAUGCUACGGACAGAGGGCAGCAAGCUAGCGAUAGCAUCGAAAUCCCGUAAACCGUAGCUCAGUUCAGAUCGCAGGCUGCAACUCGCCUGCGUGAAGGAGGAAUCGCUAGUAAUUGCAGGUCAGCAUACUGCAGUGAAUUCGUUCCCGGGCCUUGUACACACCGCCCGUCACACCAUGGAAGCUGGCAACGCCCGAAGUCAUUACUCCAACUUUUAGGAGAGGAGGAUGCCUAAGGCAGUGCUGGUGACUGGGGUGAAGUCGUAACAAGGUAGCGUACCGGAAGGUGUGGCUGGAUCACCUC
rnacentral:rRNA from 6 species